rnacentral:rRNA from 1 species
UACAGAGGUGGCAAGCGUUGUUCGGAAUUACUGGGCGUAAAGGGCGCGUAGGCGGUCUUGUAAGUCCCGUGUGAAAUCCCUCGGCUCAACUGAGGAACUGCACGGGAAACUGCUUGGCUUGAGUUCGGGAGAGGCGAGUGGAAUUCCCGGUGUAGCGGUGAAAUGCGUAGAGAUCGGGAGGAACACCAGAGGCGAAGGCGGCUCGCUGGAUAGGCACUGACACUCAACUACGAAAGCGUGGGGAGCAAACAGG